rnacentral:lncRNA from 1 species
UGUAAAAAUUUAUAAACCAUCUCUUAUGUUAUCGACCUUUCAAUCAAAAAAACCUUCUUGUAUCAAAGCGAAUCCAACGAACCCAUCAUUUGAAUGAUGUAAGGUAAAAACCAAACCUGGCACGAAAAUAAAUCGAUCCGCUUAUCACGAUAAUUAUAUUUGUUCGAUACCCUGUUGUCAAUAUAAAUGUUGAGAAUAGAAU